rnacentral:rRNA from 1 species
GACGAACGCUGGCGGCGUGCCUAACACAUGCAAGUUGAGCGACGAACCAGGGCUUGCCCUGGGGCAAAGCAGCGAACGGGUGAGUAACACGUGGGUAACCUACCCCGAUAACCGGGACAACCCGAGGAAACUCGGGCUAAUACCGGAUGUGCUCACUGGACUUCGGUUCAGUGCGUAAAGGAAGCUUCGGCCUCCGUAUCGGGAGGGGCCCGCGGCCCAUUAGUUUGUUGGUGAGGUAACGGCUCACCAAGACCGCGAUGGGUAGCUGGUCUGAGAGGACGAUCAGCCACACUGGGACUGAGACACGGCCCAGACUCCUACGGGAGGCAGCAGUGGGGAAUCUUGCGCAAUGCGCGAAAGCGUGACGCAGCAACGCCGCGUGGGGGAAGAAGGCCUUCGGGUUGUAAACCCCUUUCAGGAGGGACGAAGGUUCGGCGGUGAAUAGCCGUCCGGACUGACGGUACCUCCACAAAAAGCCCCGGCUAACUACGUG